GAAAUGCGAUAAGUAAUGUGAAUUGCAGAAUUCAGUGAAUCAUCGAAUCUUUGAACGCACCUUGCGCUCCUUGGUAUUCCUUAGAGCAUGCCUGUUUGAGUAUCAUGAAAUCUUCAAAGUAAAUCUUUUGUUAACUCAAUUGGUUUCUACUUUGGUAUUGGAGGUCUUUGCAGCUUCACACCUGCUCCUCUUUGUUCAUUAGCUGGAUCUCAGUGUUAUGCUUGGUUCCACUCGGCGUGAUAAGUUAUCUAUCGCUGAGGACACUGUAAAAGGUGGCCAAGGUAAAUGCAGAUGAACCGCUUCUAAUAGUCCAUUGACUUGGACAAUACUUUUAUGAUCUGAUCUCAAAUCAGGUAGGACUACCCGCUGAACUUAAGC
rnacentral:misc_RNA from 1 species